rnacentral:rRNA from 1 species
UACGGGGGGAGCAAGCGUUGUUCGGAUUUACUGGGCGUAAAGGGCGCGUAGGCGGUCAGCACAAGUCAGUUGUGAAAUCUCCGAGCUUAACUCGGAAAGGUCAACUGAUACUGUGCGACUAGAGUGCGGAAGGGGCAACUGGAAUUCUUGGUGUAGCGGUGAAAUGCGUAGAUAUCAAGAGGAACACCUGCGGCGAAGGCGGGUCUCUGGGCCGAAAUUGACGCUGAGGAGCGAAAGCGUGGGGAGCAAACAGG